rnacentral:rRNA from 1 species
GAUGAACGCUGGCGGCGUGCCUAAUACAUGCAAGUCGAGCGAACAGACGAGGAGCUUGCUCCUCUGACGUUAGCGGCGGACGGGUGAGUAACACGUGGAUAACCUACCUAUAAGACUGGGAUAACUUCGGGACACCGGAGCUAAUACCGUAUAAUAUAUUGAACCGCAUGGUUCAAUAGUGAAAGACGGUUUUGCUGUCACUUAUAGAUGGAUCCGCGCCGCAUUAGCUAGUUGGUAAGGUAACGGCUUACCAAGGCGACGAUGCGUAGCCGACCUGAGAGGGUGAUCGGCCACACUGGAACUGAGACACGGUCCAGACUCCUACGGGAGGCAGCAGUAGGGAAUCUUCCGCAGUGGGCGAAAGCCUGACGGAGCAACGCCGCGUGAGUGAUGAAGGUCUUCGGAGCGUAAAACUCUGUUAUUAGGGAAGAACAAAUGUGUAAGUAACUAUGCACGUCUUGACGGUACCUAGUCAGAAAGCCACGGCUAACUACGUG